UUUUAAGCCCCCCAAGUCAAAUCGGAGACUUAAAAACUGGUACUCCAAAAGGAAAAAGAUAGGUGUCUUACUGUGGGCAUUUGUCUUGGUGAACUAGCACCUUAAAGUCCAGCUAACCCACAGGCCGGCUGGCUAGUACAAGCAGACAGGUAUUUUCAAUACCAUUUGGCAUUUUUAAACUUUGGCAUUUUUUCAUUUGGCUUUUUGCUUUAUAUGUUUUUUAACUAUUUGGAUUUUUAUACCAUUUGGCAUUUUUUAUUUUUUUUCUUCAUUUUUUGCAACAUAUUUUUUCAUCAACACACCCAAAACACUUCAAAAUUAAGAGUUAAAUAUACACUUUUGGCAUUCAUAAUGUUUAUCAAUCAAAAUAGCAUUCUAUUUUCAAAUUGACAUUACACAAUUUGGCUUUCUGUAACUUUGGCUGUUAAUCUUUUGUUCGAAUGCUAUGAUGACCAUUAUGUGUAGAAAAUAAGACUACAUUUCUAAAAGUGGCUCAGUAUCAUAUAUUUAUGUUUAAUGUCAAUUAGUUCUGAAUUUUCUUCAUAUUUCUAAAAUGUAAGUUCUUCCAUAUCUGGUACAUCUUAUAAUAUCGUAUUCAUUUACUAACCCAAUUUUCUCAUAGGGACUUAACACCAAGCAGAAGGGGUAUAGGUGGUAGGUGGUUAAGGGUGUUAUGAUAGGGUGAAAGGGUGAGAAAGGGAGGGAGAAAAAUAGAAUGAUGGAGAGGGUGAGGGUAUAUGAUUGUGAGUGGAAUGUAGAGAGGGAGAGAAGGUGUGAGAGAAUGUCAUUUCAUAGUAAGGGCAGGAUGUACUGGUCUAAUGGAAGUGCAGUUUUCUGUUUUGUCUCGUGUAGUUUCUAUUUUCUUCAUCAUCUGAUAACUUUAAAUAUGAAAUUGCUGCCAUCUAAAAGUUCACAGGUUAACAGCCUUU